rnacentral:rRNA from 1 species
GGAUAACUGUGGUAAUUCUAGAGCUAAUACAUGCACCAAAGCUCUGACCUUACGGAAAGAGUGCAUUUAUUAGAACAAAACCAGGCGACUUCGGUCGAACCUGUUGACUCACAAUAACUCAGCUGACCGAAUGUGCUAGUCACGUCGGCGUGUCUUUCAAGUAUCUGCCUUAUCAACUUUCGAUGGUAGUGUAUUUGACUACCAUGGUGGUGACGGGUAACGGAGGAUAAGGGUUCGACUCCGGAGAAGGGGCCUGAGAAAUGGCCACUACGUCUAAGGAUGGCAGCAGGCGCGCAAAUUACCCACUCUCAGAAUGAGGAGGUAGUGACGAGAAAUAACGAGGCGGUUCUCUAUGAGGCCCGCCAUCGGAAUGGGUACAAUUUAAACCCUUUAACGAGUAUCUAUGAGAGGGCAAGUCUGGUGCCAGCAGCCGCGGUAAUUCCAGCUCUCAAAAUGCAUAGAAUUAUUGCUGCGGUUAAAAAGCUCGUAGUUGGAUCUGUGCUGUGGAACUUGGUCCACCUUUUUGGUGUGUACUGAGCUUCCCGGCUUUUCUGCUGGUUUUCUCGUCAUAGCCUUAAUCGGUUGUGGCGGGUGGCUGGCGAUUUUACUUUGAACAAAUCAGAGUGCUCAACACAGGCGUUUCGCUUGAAUGUUCUUGCAUGGAAUAAUAGAAGAGGAUUUCGGUCCUAUUUUAUUGGUUUUAUAGGCUGAAAUAAUGGUUAAUAGAGACAAACGGGGGCAUUCGUAUCGCUGCGUGAGAGGUGAAAUUCUUGGACCGCAGCGAGACGGACUACAGCGAAAGCAUUUGCCAAGAAUGUCUUCAUUAAUCAAGAACGAAAGUCAGAGGUUCGAAGGCGAUCAGAUACCGCCCUAGUUCUGACCGUAAACGAUGCCAAUUCGCGAUCUGCCGGUGCUGAUUAUGGCCUGGUAGGGAGCGUACCGGAAACGAAAAUCUUCGGGUUCCGGGGGAAGUAUGGUUGCAAAGCUGAAACUUAAAGGAAUUGACGGAAGGGCACCACCAGGAGUGGAGCCUGCGGCUUAAUUUGACUCAACACGGGAAAACUCACCCGGCCCGGACACCGUAAGGAUUGACAGAUUGAUAGCUCUUUCAUGAUUCGGUGGAUGGUGGUGCAUGGCCGUUCUUAGUUCGUGGAGCGAUUUGUCUGGUUUAUUCCGAUAACGAGCGAGACUCUAGCCU